rnacentral:misc_RNA from 1 species
UAACACAUCAAGAGCUAGAUCACAUACUGCACAUGUAUACUGAAGAAGCACAUUUAAACAAAACCAAAUACAUGAAUUCCAAAAAGCAUAGUUGGAAGUGCUCUCAAGUCCUCUUCCUCCUCUUAUUACUUCGCCUUCUGUCACGCUCAUCAGGGCUUGAUUCUGACUCAGGCUCAGAACUGGACCCUGAACUAGAGCUUUCCGAACCAGAUUCGGAUCCACUUGAAUCUGACUCUGAUGAUUCUGGCUUCUGCUGCUGCAUUAUUAGACGUGGCAUGUUCUUCAAGUACUCCCUCAGGCUUUCCGUGAUACCACCAAGACCAAUGGACGUGAAGAAGUUGAUCGAGAACCUUGUAUUCUUCGGAUGAUCCUUUGGGAAGAUAGACUCAAAGGAACCUUGCAUGUUAGGAUCAUUCAGCCUCUCAUUGAGUAGGCGUAUGCCCAGGUGCUCCGAUAAUUC